UACGCAUGGGGCUAGCGUAGUUCGGAAUCACUGGGCGUAAAGCGCACGUAGGCGGAUUUGUUAGUCAGGGGUGAAAUCCCGGGGCUCAAACUCGGAACUGCCUUUGAUACUGCAGAUCUCGAGUCCGGAAGAGGUGAGUGGAAUUCCUAGUGUAGAGGUGAAAUUCGUAGAUAUUAGGAAGAACACCAGUGGCGAAGGCGGCUCACUGGUCCGGUACUGACGCUGAGGUGAGAAAGCGUGGGGAGCAAACAGG
rnacentral:rRNA from 1 species